rnacentral:rRNA from 1 species
GACGAACGCUGGCGGCGUGCUUAACACAUGCAAGUCGAACGAUGAAGUUCCUUCGGGAAUGGAUUAGUGGCGAACGGGUGAGGAACACGUGAGAAACCUGCCUUUCAUUUUGGGAUAACUCCGGGAAACCGGGGCUAAAACCGAAUACUCCGUCUCGGCGGCAUCGCUGAGCCGGGAAAAAAUUUUGAUGAAAGAUGGUCUCGCGGCCUAGCAGCUAGUUGGUGAGGUAAUGGCGCAACAAGGCAACGACGGGUAGCCGGCCUGAGAGGGCGAACGGCCACACUGGGACUGAGACACGGCCCAGACUCCUACGGGAGGCAGCAGUGGGGAAUAUUGGGCAAUGGGCGCAAGCCUGACCCAGCGACGCCGCGUGAGGGAUGAAGGCCUUCGGGUUGUAAACCUCUUUCAGUGGGGAAGAAGCGAAAGUGACGGUACCUAAAGAAGAAGCACCGGCUAACUAUGUGCCAGCCGCCGCCGUAA